UACGAAGGGGGCUAGCGUUGCUCGGAAUCACUGGGCGUAAAGGGUGCGUAGGCGGGUCUUUAAGUCAGGGGUGAAAUCCUGGAGCUCAACUCCAGAACUGCCUUUGAUACUGAGGAUCUUGAGUUCGGGAGAGGUGAGUGGAACUGCGAGUGUAGAGGUGAAAAUUCGUAGAUAUUCGCAAGAACACCAGUGGCGAAGGGCGGCUCACUGGCCCGAUACUGACGCUGAGGCACGGAAAGCGUGGGGAGCGAACAGG
rnacentral:rRNA from 1 species